GCUCAGGACGAACGCUGGCGGCGUGCCUAUACAUGCAAGUCGAGCGGACAGAUGGAGCUUGCUUCCNGAUGUUAGCGGCGGACGGGUGAGUAACACGUGGGNAACCUGCCUGUAAGACUGGGAUAANUCCGGGAAACCNGGGCUAAUACCNGAUGCUUGUUUGAACCGCAUGGUUCAAACAUAAAAGGUGGCUUCGGCUACCACUUACAGANGGNCCCGCGGCGNCAUUAGCUAGUUGGUGAGGUAACNGCUNACCNAAGGCAACGAUGCGUAGCCNACCNGAGANGGGNGAUCGGCCACACUGGGNCUGAGACACGGNCCAGACUNCUACGGGAGGCAGCAGUAGGGNAUCUUNCGCAAUGGACGAAAGUCUGACGGAGCAACNCCGCGUGAGUGAUGAAGGUUUUCGGAUCGUAAANCUCUGUUGUUAGGGAAGAACAAGUNCCGUUCGAAUAGGGNCGGUACCUUGACGGUACCUAACCAGAAAGCCACGGCUAACUACGUGCCAGCAGCCGCGGUAAUACGUAGGUGGCAAGNNCGUUGUCCNGGAANUUAUUGGGGCGGUAAAAGGGGCUNCGCANGGCNGGUUUNCUUNAAGUCUNAUGNNUNNNGAAAAGCCCCCCGNGCUCAACCCGNGGNNGAGGGUCAUUGGNAAACUGGGGGAACUUGAGGUGCAGAAGNAGGANGAGUGGNAAUUCCCCCGUGUANGCGGUGAAAUUCGUAGNAGAUGGUGGAGGGAACCCCCAGUGGCGAAGGGNGGCCUCUCUNGGUCUUUUAACUGACGCUGAGGAGCGAAAAGCGUGGGGAGCGGAACCGGAUUUAGAUACCCUUGUCGUCCCCGCCGUAAACGAUGAGUGCNUAAGUGUUAAGGGGUUUCCCCCCCUUAGGCNCCAGNUAACGCAUUAANCCCUCCCCCUGGGGAGUACGGUCGCAAGACUGAAACUCAAAGGAAUGACGGGGGCCCGCACAAGCGGGGAGCAUGUGGUUUAAUUCGAAGCAACGCGAAGAACCUUNCCAGGUCUUGNCAUCCUCUGACAAUCCUANAGAUAGGACGUCCCUUCGGGGGAGAGUGACAGGUGGUGCAUGGUUGUCGUCAGCCCGUGUCGUGAGAUGUUGGGUUAAGUCCCGCAACGACGCAACCUUGAUNUUAGUUGCCAGCAUUCAGUUGGGCACUNUAAGGUGCUGCCGGUGCAACCGGAGGAAGGUGGG
rnacentral:rRNA from 1 species